rnacentral:rRNA from 1 species
AACGCGAAGAACCUUACCUAGUCUUGACAUGUAGGGGACCGCUGCAGAAAUGCAGCUUUCCGUAAGGACCGCUACACAGGUGCUGCAUGGCUGUCGUCAGCUCGUGCCGUGAGGUGUUCGGUUAAGUCCGGUAACGAGCGCAACCCUUAUCAUUAGUUGCCAACACUUCGGGUGGGAACUCUAAUGAGACUGCCUGGGUUAACCAGGAGGAAGGUGAGGAUGACGUCAAGUCAGCAUGGCCCUUAUGACUAGGGCGACACACGUGCUACAAUGGUCGGUACAGAAGGCAGCAAAGUCGUAAGAUGGAGCAAAUCCCUAAAGCCGAUCUCAGUUCAGAUUGUAGUCUGCAACUCGACUACAUGAAGUUGGAAUUGCUAGUAAUGGCGCGUCAGCCAUAGCGCCGUGAAUACGUUCCCGGGCCUUGUACACACCGGUACUA